rnacentral:rRNA from 1 species
UGCCAGCAGCCGCGGUAAUACGGAGGGUGCAAGCGUUAUCCGGAAUUACUGGGUUUAAAGGGUGCGUAGGCGGCGAUAUAAGUCAGAAGUGAAAGUUGGCGGCUCAACCGCAAAAUUGCUUUUGAUACUGUAUUGCUUGAAUCACGUUGAGGUUGGCGGAAUGUGGCAUGUAGCGGUGAAAUGCAUAGAUAUGCCAUAGAACACCAAUUGCGAAGGCAGCUUACUGGACGUGUAUUGACGCUGAGGCACGAAAGCGUGGGGAGUGAACAGGAUUAGAUA